GGGAAACUCACCAGGUCCAGACAAAAUAAGGAUUGACAGAUUGAUAGCUCUUUCUUGAUCUUGUGGUUGGUGGUGCAUGGCCGUUCUUAGUUGGUGGAGUGAUUUGUCUGGUUAAUUCCGAUAACGAACGAGACCUUAACCUGCUAAAUAGACCAGCCGGCUUUGGCUAGCUGCUGUCUUCUUAGAGGGACUAUCAGCGUUUAGCUGAUGGAAGUUUGAGGCAAUAA
rnacentral:rRNA from 1 species